CAGUCGCCGCGGUAAUACAGAGGGUGCGAGCGUUAAUCGGAUUUACUGGGCGUAAAGCGUGCGUAGGCGGCUAAUUGAGUCGGAUGUGAAAUCCCCGAGCUUAACUUGGGAAUUGCAUUCGAUACUGGUUAGCUAGAGUGUGGGAGAGGAUGGUAGAAUUCCAGGUGUAGCGGUGAAAUGCGUAGAGAUCUGGAGGAAUACCGAUGGCGAAGGCAGCCAUCUGGCCUAAUACUGACGCUGAGGUACGAAAGCAUGGGGAGCAAACAGGAUUAGAGACCCGAGUAGUCCAUGUCUCUUAUAC
rnacentral:rRNA from 1 species